rnacentral:misc_RNA from 1 species
AAAGGAGCAUGAUCCAUCAUCAUGAGCAAGAAGAACAGACUCUCCCUCUGACACAAACCAUCCUCCUGUUGAACUUUUGGGGCCCAUUUGGUUAACUUGAUAAACACCAGUAUCUUCAGUCUCCUCACCAAUUACAACUGCUUGUCUAUUUUCCUGGUCAUCAAACUCAUCAAGUGUCUCAUCAGUUGUAAGAUCAAGCUCCUCACUACACUUGCCAUGGUAAUUGAUAAAAGAAUCUUGUUUUCCUGAAGCUGCAGCACCAUUAGUUUCUUUAACUUCACAAAAUUCAAAGCCGGCCUUUGCAUCUCUCAGAGUUACCUUUGUGUCCUUAUUAAGUGAAGCCAACAAAUCUAGUGCUAUUGGAUUUUCUUCAGUAGGGCUCAACAACUUCUCU